rnacentral:tRNA from 1 species
GGACUGGCAGCUCAAUUGGAAGAGUGCCACUGUACAAAACUGGAGGCCACAGGUUCAAUCUCUGUCUAGUCCA